rnacentral:tRNA from 1 species
GGUAAAAUAUAUUUGCGUGUCAGGCAAUGAAUCCUUUAUUUUAGAUUGAUAGAGGUUUUACUU